UGGGGAAUAUUGCACAAUGGGCGAAAGCCUGAUGCAGCAACGCCGCGUGAGUGAUGAAGGCCUUCGGGUUGUAAAGCUCUGUCUUUUGGGACGAUAAUGACGGUACCAAAGGAGGAAGCCACGGCUAACUACGUGCCAGCAGCCGCGGUAAUACGUAGGUGGCAAGCGUUGUCCGGAUUUACUGGGCGUAAAGGAUGCGUAGGCGGAUUUUUAAGUGAGAUGUGAAAACCCUAAGCUUAACUUGGGGACUGCAUUUCAUACUGGAAAUCUAGAGUGCGGGAGAGGAGAAUGGAAUUCCUAGUGUAGCGGUGAAAUGCGUAGAGAUUAGGAAGGACACCAGUGGCGAAGGCGAUUCUCUGGACCGUAACUGACGCUGAGGCAUGAAAGCGUGGGUAGCAAACAGGAUUAGAUACCCUGGUAGUCCACGCCGUAAACGAUGAGUACUAGGUGUAGGAGGUAUCGACCCCUUCUGUGCCGCAGUUAACACAAUAAGUACUCCGCCUGGGAAGUACGAUCGCAAGAUUAAAACUCAAAGGAAUUGACGGGGUCAUAGCUGUUUCCU
rnacentral:rRNA from 1 species